rnacentral:tRNA from 1 species
GCCGAAGUGGUGGAAUUGGUAGACGCGCUAGAUUCAGAGUCUAGUAAGGUCAAACUUGUGGGGGUUCGAGUCCCCCCUUCGGCACCA